UGGAAAUAUCACCACUCUGCAUUUCACAGUCUGGAACGAUAAAGGGACUUAAUUGGUAAACAAAUUCCUGACAGAAUACAGGGCUGCACAUAAACCUUCAUUUCAAUGGGUUUGGACUCAGGCUCUUGCAGAUGGGCAAUUGGAUCCAUAAACUGCUAUUGAAUCAAACUCCUAAAUAGAUAAUUCUGAUGGUGCCAGGUGGUUUGAACUUAUGGAGGCAGUGGAACUGCAGCAUCCAUGACAGCAGCACUCAGUCCUGCAGGGAAGGUUCCCUCUGUGUCACCCCUUGCCAGCAGCUCGAUAGGUGUUGAGCCACCAGGACAUGUCAUUGUGACUUUGUAAAAAAGACAGUUCUAAUGGACUGGAAGAGACCAAAUAAGAGGACCAAGGGAAAUAUUUGUUACAGACAUCUGUAGAACAGAGUGAAAGGAUUGACAGGAAAUGGA